AUUGAACGCUGGCGGCAGGCUUAACACAUGCAAGUCGAGCGGAGAUGAGGUGCUUGCACCUUAUCUUAGCGGCGGACGGGUGAGUAAUGCUUAGGAAUCUGCCUAUUAGUGGGGGACAACAUUCCGAAAGGAAUGCUAAUACCGCAUACGUCCUACGGGAGAAAGCAGGGGAUCUUCGGACCUUGCGCUAAUAGAUGAGCCUAAGUCGGAUUAGCUAGUUGGUGGGGUAAAGGCCUACCAAGGCGACGAUCUGUAGCGGGUCUGAGAGGAUGAUCCGCCACACUGGGACUGGAACACGGCCCAGACUCCUACGGGAGGCAGCAGUGGGGAAUAUUGGACAAUGGGGGGAACCCUGAUCCAGCCAUGCCGCGUGUGUGAAGAAGGCCUUAUGGUUGUAAAGCACUUUAAGCGAGGAGGAGGCUACUGAGACUAAUACUCUUGGAUAGUGGACGUUACUCGCAGAAUAAGCACCGGCUAACUCUGUGCCAGCCGCCGCUGUAA
rnacentral:rRNA from 1 species